rnacentral:rRNA from 1 species
UACAGAGGUCUCAAGCGUUGUUCGGAUUCAUUGGGCGUAAAGGGUGCGUAGGUGGCGCCGUAAGUCAGGUGUGAAAUUUCGGAGCUUAACUCCGAAACUGCAUUUGAUACUGCGGUGCUUGAGGACUGGAGAGGAGACUGGAAUUUACGGUGUAGCAGUGAAAUGCGUAGAGAUCGUAAGGAAGACCAGUGGCGAAGGCGGUUCUCUGGGCAUGAUCUGACGGCUGAGGAGCGAAAGUGUGGGGAGCGAACAGG